UUGGCAUUACAUUAAUAACAUAAUAAAUUCCUAAAUUGCUUAGUUGUUUGUUUAAAAGUUGGCACAUCAAUUUGUAAGGACUAUAUAAUAAAAUUUGCAACAAUUGUAAGAUCACUCUAAGGGAUACAUUAUUAGUGGGUAGCAGGAAUGAACCCACAUUCUUUAGUUCAAAUCUUCCCUUCGCCCUCAGCCUGGUACCAAACAUAUCAAAAAAUAUAUAUCUAAUCCAAUAUUAAUAGCUUUUUCUUCUGUAAAUCUUCAAACGUUAAUGAGCCAUGGUCUUUCCUCUCUUAGGGCAUUCAUUUAUAAGUACGCAUUUAUAAUCAUAAGUAGAUUGUUUGCUUCCCACCAAGAGAGUUUUCUAAAAUAAGUGAAAAUGCUAUCACAUGCUGGUAUAAAUUAAUUUUUUCAUAGUCUGACUCUUUUAUAUCCUUUUGUAGGAGACUUCAUAUGAAGUUGUUGAUUGCUCCCAUGGUAAGCAACUCUGGGAAUUAUGUAAAGAGAAGUACGAACCACUAUGGCUUAAAGGGGGAAACCACUGUGAUUUGGAGCUCAGAUUGAGCACAAGAUUCUUUCUUCAAUAUAUGUGCUUAAUUUUGUAUAUAAAUGUUGGGGUUGAACGAAAUCUACAAAGGUCUAUAUUCAUUCCUCACGAAAGGGACAUGACAGGCA